UAACUUUACAGAGCGAUAGAUAUAAUUGAAGUGAGAACAAGUCCCACCCGUUUCAAUGUCCUUUACCUUUUCUCCUUUUCUGUUCACAUGGAUUUUUAUGCAUGGCUAUUCAAAGGGUAGAACUAAGUAGAUGAUACAGUAGUGAUCAAGCUAGCUAAGGAAAGGGGAUGCCCAGCCAUUAAUUGGGUAGGUAAAAGUUUAAUGUUAAAGGGCAUAUGAGAGUUGUAGGUAUGAAAGCUUUCCUAGUAUAAACCGUUAGCUCGCCGACAAUAAUGUACUAUAAUGCAGUGGUUAAGCCUUCCAUGCCCUUCUCUCUCUCCUCUUAGCCUCUCUAUAUCUUCUUCUCUAAGCCCUUUGUGUACUUCACUGCUCCUCUCUGCCUUUCUGUACUUUCUUCUGUCUUCGCUAAAUCUCUCUCUCUGCCACCAACAUGGUACAAUCAAAGAAGUUCAGAGGAGUCAGGCAGCGUCAUUGGGGUUCUUGGGUAUCUGAAAUUCGACACCCUUUACUGAAGAGGAGGAUCUGGCUAGGCACAUUUGAAACGGCAGAAGAGGCAGCUCGAGCUUAUGAUCAAGCUGCAAUCUUGAUGAGUGGCCGCAACGCAAAAACCAAUUUUCCCAUAACUCAAACCCCAAAUGGAGACCCAAAAUCCAGUGACCCUUCCUCAACUAGUACUAGCACUAGUACUACUGCUGCUACUGCUCCACCCAAUGGUUUAUCUGAAAUCCUGCACGCCAAGCUUCGAAAGUGCAGCAAAGCACCAUCUCCGUCCAUGACAUGUUUGAGGCUUGACACUGAGAACUCCCACAUUGGUGUGUGGCAAAAGCGCGCCGGACAGCGCUCUGAUUCCAACUGGGUCAUGACCGUGCAGCUUGGGAAGAGAAAACACCAGGUUUCUGAUGGAACAUUGCCAUCGGCAGAGUCGUCGGGGACGCUACCGGGGCCAGAGUUGAGAACGGAAAUGGAUGAAGAAGAGAGAAUUGCACUGCAAAUGAUCGAAGAGCUUCUCAACAGGAACUGUCCAAGUCCACCCUUUGGUGACGAUCAAGAUGGGGAUGAUGGUAGUAGCUUCUAUCUUUGAAUUAAUUUCUUGUGGGUUGGGUCUUCACUUUCAAGGGAUCAAAUGUGUUUGUAUAGGCUUGCUGUUGGUGUUGCAGAGACACAACAAACAAAGCACAUGAAAGUAAGAAAUUGUGAAUUUCUACUAUUUUAUUAUAUAUAUGGAAAUAUAGAAUGCAUGGGUGGGGAGCAAAAUUGUGAGGAAAGGCUAUACUGAAGAAGACAAAUAAUACUAUUUGUGCUCGAUUCUCCAAGAAGGCUUGAGCAAUUAAUUAUAAUUUGUGUUGUUGAUCAAAUAUUAAUGGAAUUAAUUGUCAUUUCAGUUUACUUUGCAUCUACUAGUUUUUAAUAAUAAGGCUUCGUUUGGAA
rnacentral:misc_RNA from 1 species